rnacentral:lncRNA from 1 species
UACCUUAUCAAGAGUUACUCAUUCUUCAACAAGCAGUAGUUGAUUCCCUGCACUUUUAGCAAGAAAAAUCUGGUGCUUCAACUAAGAUUAUUCAGUAUCAGACACGUCCAUGUGACAGUACUAAAAAAAUAGAGAAACAACUUGCUGCAAUGUAUCUGAAACAAUAUUACUCCAUCAAGGGAUAACUCAAGUCAUUAGGCUGCUCUUUAUAUCAGAUUUAUAUAAAAGUCAGUGAAUUAAUAGACUUCUACUAAAGUUUAAAUUUGAAUAGAAAACACUCUUCAUUUGUAGUAAAAAUGUUUUCAAUGCCGAGAGAUAUAAAACACAUUCCUCAAGCAAAAUGCAACUUAACAUAAGAUUAUAGAAAUCAGAAAGUCUUUCAGAACUCCACAUAUUUAGGCAAAUGGACCAUUCUAGUAAGAUGUGGUCUUAUAUAAAUAAUCCAACGAUGCAUUACAACCAAAGAUUAUUGGUCCCGUCAUCAAUUGCUAAUGCGUUGAACAAACAAAUUGUGUAUAAGAGAUCAUUCUUUAGAGGACUGAUUUACCUUGUAGUAUACCUUGUUGCCGUAAAAGGCAUAUAUUCAUAUUCUAUCAUUUGAGAACUAAGCUUUAGGAUGAUUUUUAUUUACAUGUUAACCGGUCAGACUGCAAAUCAUUUACUUAGUAAAAUUCUUCGGUGAAUCAGAGAUCAAUAAUUUCAUCAUAUCGAUAAAAAAUAGAAAACAACAUAGGACAAACAGAUGACCAGAACAAAAUAAUGAGAUUCAAAGGAAGAAAAUAAUGCUCAAAGACAUUGAAGAGAAAGUUAGAUAGAAUAAUAAGAAAACAACCAUGAAUUAAGCCAUGAAAUUGGAAAUCUGAAGAGAAUCUGAAGAAGAUUAGGGCAAAAGAUUGAUGCAAAUGCUAACCUGAAAUUGCCACACCCAGAUAAAAAUAUGAUGAGAAGUCAAAAAGAAGUCCAAAUUUAUGCAAGAAUCAUAUUUCUCUCUUGUUGGUUGGAAUGAACAAGAGAGAUGAAAGAAUGAAAUUUCUAGAAUGAGUUAGUGUUGGUAUUAGAAUAAAAGUGAAAUUGGAGUGAAUGCGUGCAACACAUUUUAUGACAUGGUUAAAUGACUUUUUU